AUGGCUCAAAAAAAAAAAAAAAAAAAAAACCCCACCGGCCGCCAGCCCGGGGGGGGGAGUGGGGAGGUCGGCGGACGCAGCCCCCGAGCCUGGCGCCCCUCCCGCCGCCGAACACACACGGCCCCGCGGCGGACGCCGGCUCUCCCCACCCCGCGGGGCUCGCGCUUUCCAGAGGCCUCGGCACCCCGUUUCCUGAAAAGCUGCGGGCACCCCGGCCCGCCGGCCCCGGGCCCGGCCUGGAGGACAAAGUUUUCCGAAGUUGAGGCGCUCGGGGGGCGGGCGGGCCCGGGCGGGGGCGGGGGCGAGGCGGCGCCGCACCGGGCACUCGCCGCCGGGCGCCGGGCCUGCUCCGCCCCGGCCCGGCUCCGGCCCCGGGCCCGCCGCCGCCGCCGCCGCCGCGGGCGCGGGAAGGAGCCGCCGGGGAUGCAGCCGCCCGCCCGCCCGCCGCCCGCCGCCCAACACCUCAGCCCCUUACCCCGCGGUCCGCCCCGCUCGGCCGGCUCAGGGGCUCCGGGCGCGUCCUCCGCCGCGGUCCGCAGCGUCCUGCUCCCCGGGCAGCCCCAUGUCGGGGGGCGGGGAAGGGCCGGCGGCCGCCGCCGCCGCCGGCUGGAAAGUCCCUGCUGGGCUGCAACCCCGGCUCGCGCACGCGGCGGCCGCGCCGCGCCGCGCUCCCUCGCGCCCUCACGCACCCUCUCGCAGCACUUCCUCUCGCGCGCUGGAAAUCCCCGCCGGCCGCCGGAGCGCGCCCCGGCGCGCGCCCGCCCCGCCCCCGCCGCCCGCGCGCGCGCGUGGGAGCGCAGGACCCGGCGAGCGCGGCCGGCCCCACGCGCACGCGCGCCCCCGCGCUGCCCCCUCCCCUCCCCGCGCGCACGCGCACGCGCGCACACGCGCACGCGGCCCGUUGCUAAGGCCCAGCCCGCCCCGCGCCCGCCCGCCGGCCUUAGCAACGGCGCGGCGGCGCGAGCCCGGCCGGCCCCCGCCGGCCCCCGCCGGCCCCCGCCGCCCCCCGCGCCCGCCGCCCGCCCCCUCGCUCUGCGCGGCCCGCGCGCCCCCGCCGUCCUCCGUCCUCCUCCCCCUUUCCGGGUUAAAAAAAAAAAAAAAAAGCCACGCAGCCGCGUGUGGGCCCCAAAGGUGCAGGUUCGGCGGCGGCCGGGAGCGAUGGCGUCACCCGGUUCACCCGCGCAGCCACGCUCACUCCCGCAGGCGGCACCCUGGACACACGCUCGCUUGCACCCGCGCACUUGCCCCUCACACUCACGCUCACACGCCCCCGGGCACAGACACCCUCAAGCCCUCGCACCACACACACACUCACACCCGCCGCAGCACACGCGCGCUCACACACGCGCAGGUGGGUGGGGCUGA
rnacentral:lncRNA from 1 species